GUGGCAUUACCACUUCUGCACCCCGCUACUGUCUUUACUGGUUAACCUCAUGUUAUCAUGUGUAUUUUUCCAGGUCCAAACACUGUGCAUUUCCUAUUUUGUAACUAUGUUCACAUACAGGUGGCAGCAAAUAUGGCAGAGCUACAG